AAUGAGGUCCCACGACCAUUAGCCCAAUCCUGCACAAAAGCAGAAAUCCUUCAGCAGCCAGGGCCGAGUGCCUCAGGCAGUGCUGCAGGGAGUCUGAGGAGCAAAGCAGAACAAGCGAGGCUGAUUCCAUUUGUCACAAGCACAGGGAAGCCGUGGUGUGUGGUUUGGUGCCAGCCCUGUGCCGUUGCAGGUGCUGUUUAUGUGACACACUGGUUCCCAUUUCUAAGCUGCACGUGUGGAAAGCCAGCUGUGUUUUCCUGGAGGAGUCAUUGUGUUUUAGCAUCAGAGCUGUAAAUAUAGUAACAUUUGUUUAAAUACGAACAUGCUUCAUAGAAAUGAGAAGUAAUGUUUGUUGGCUUUUCCAGCCGUUGCAUGUUAUAUGCAUUAAUUGUCAUAUUUCCAAGAAACUAACAUCUGUGGAAGGAGGGGGAAGUGUUCGUGAUUAGGGAUGUCCAACUGAGAUUAGCGUGAUACACUUUCAUGUUAGAUGUUGUACAAAAUGAAGUCAGGCUUUUCUUCUCAGUUCAGGCCUUGCUGCAUGCUGGUGUAUUGCAUUUAUGAAUGUAGUGGCCUUUUCCAUGGUUAGAUUGGUAGAUUAGAAAAUAGCUGCUUGAAAACCCUGCCGUGAGGGGUGGUCCUUGCCACAGCUGUGGUGAUUGCUUUAACGAUGGCAGCUGUGUGCUUAAUUAGGGCUGCGUGCGGUAACUGCCUGAUCUCAGUAGGAGUCUGAAGCUAGUAGAGGAGGUUUCUUCUGGACAAUGUGGUCUAUGUCUUGUGUUAAAGUAAGGGAUGAAAACGCAAAAUGUUUUCUGGACUCUGCCUUACUGAGAAAACAACUGUGAUACAGCAUCUCUCUUCCUACUUCUUUGAGGUCAUCUGUGGGCAAAACACCUGACUCACGAUAAUAAAUCUUUCCCCAUUUCUGUAGCUGGAUGUCUUUGCAGAAGGGCAUCUUCCGCUGCACAUGGAUAUCACUUGCAGCAGCAGGGCUGCACCUUUCCUCACACUGUGAGCUGCGUGGCACUGCGUGCUGUAAUAUGGACUGGCUGUAACAUACAGCUCUAAUAACAGUCUCUUUGGAGAUUUUUGCUUAGGAAACAAACCUGCUGUCGCAACACUAAAACCACACAAAGCCUUGGGGUUUCCACCUCCCUCUGCUUGGCCGCAAGUUAUAUCUGUAUCCUGUAGUUACCAACGGCAAAUAAACUGUGGGCUUUGGGGUUGGUUUUAAGCUGACUACAAGCUCAAUAUACCCAGAUGGCCCAACAAAACGUGCAGCCACUGUAUGGAAAGAUGGAAAGAGCCAUUAUGUGUCGUAUCACGGCUGUUCCCCCCACGCUGCUGCGAAGGUGAAGCGAGAAGGGGGCAGGGGGAGCUGCUGGACUCUCUCUCGCCCUGUAUGAAACUAAGCCGGCACCGUCACAUUGGGAAAAGCACCGAUGUAGACGAAAGGGAUGAGGCUGUGCUCGUACGCUAGGCUGGGUUUUGCGGCUUCACGGGCAGAGCUCGGGGCGGGCAUCCGUGCUGCUGGGGCAGCGCUGUUUCGUCCCGGAGCAGCACCACGAUGCUGAGCAGCGGGGCUGCGUGCCUUCAACUUGUCAACAAGCGAAACACGAAAGAAAUGAGAGCUGCCGAUUCAGCCCCGGCAGGUGCUGAGGAUGCUCGGUACCCCGCAGCUCUCCCUUAGGCUUGCAGUGCGCAGGAACGUGCCGCAGCCCCGAGCCUCCGCAGCAGCACUCCUCACCCAUCUACAGACGCAUUUUUUCCCUCGUAAGGACCGCGGCGGUCCCCGCGCCAGCUCCUACUCGGGGUGUAAGGCAAGCCGACUGCCGUCUCAAACCCCUCAGCGAGACGCUCCUCGAGGCGCCGACCGUGCUGAAGCCCUUUAUCGGACGGGGCUUCUACCUCCCCCCGCUCACGGUGCUCCCCGCUGUUUACAACGGGCGCGCCCCUCUGCUGGGAGCGCCGCUUCCGCCAGCCGCUCCUACCCCGCCGGCUGCCCGCUCCCCAACACCGGCACCUGCCGCCGCCCCGCCGCGCUUACCCUCAUCUUCCUGGGCGCCGCGCACAUACGCGAGUGCCGGGCGCGGGCCGGCCGGCAGCACAGCGCCCCGCUCCCGCCGCCCGUGAC